rfam:Myotis davidii contig168684, whole genome shotgun sequence.
GCCGAUGUAGUUCAGUUGUAGACCAUCAGCCUGCACACUGAAGGGUCAUGGGUUUGAUUCCCAGUCAAGGGCA